rnacentral:rRNA from 1 species
AUGUACAAGAGAGGUGAAGGAAGGGAUCGUCUACUAGUUGGCAUCUAUGUCGACGACCUAUUGAUAACUGGAGCAGAUGAAGAGGAGAUUGCUAGAUUCAAGCUACAAAUGAAGGAGCUUUUCAAGAUGAGUGAUUUAGGGCUCUUGACUUACUAUCUCGGGAUCGAGGUACAUCAAAAGCCGGAGGGAAUCACGCUAUGCCAGGAGGCAUAUGCAAAGAAGAUUCUUGAAAGCUGUAGCAUGGAGGACUGCAAUCCAAGUCAUGUUCCAAUGGAGCCUCGACUUAAACUUAGCAAGAGGAGCCAAGCACCCGCGGUUGAUGCAACGGACUAUAGAAGUGUGGUCGGAAGCCUAAGGUAUCUUGUGAAUACACGACCAGAUUUGGCCUAUUCCGUUGGCGUAGUGAGUCGCUUCAUGGAAGCACCCACGACAGAACAUUGGGCAGCUGUGAAACAAAUACUCAGGUACAUCAAAGGGACAACUAACUUCGGUUGUGUCUAUUUGAGAGAGAAGCGGAAGGAGAUGGUGGAGCUACUUGGCUACAGUGAUAGCGACUUGGCAGGAGAUAUUGACGACCGUAAAAGUACCUCGGGCGUGGCAUAUUUCUUGGGAAGAAACAUAGUGAGUUGGCUAUCACAAAAGCAGAAGGUGGUCGCAUUAUCAUCCUGUGAAGCGGAGUAUAUUGCAGCUGCAACCGCGGCAGGUCAAGGUGUCUGGCUAGAAAGGCUACUCGGUGACCUCACUGACAAGGAACCGGAAGGAGUGGUGCUCUAUGUUGACAACAAGUCCACUAUUGCUCUAUGUAAGAAUCCAGUGCAUCAUGAUAGAAGUUAA